rnacentral:rRNA from 1 species
UACGGAGGAUCCAAGCGUUAUCCGGAUUUAUUGGGUUUAAAGGGUGCGUAGGCGGCGCGGUAAGUCGGGUGUGAAAUCUCGGAGCUUAACUCCGAAACUGCAUUCGAUACUGCCGUGCUUGAGGACUGGAGAGGAGACUGGAAUUUACGGUGUAGCGGUGAAAUGCGUAGAUAUCGUAAGGAAGACCAGUGGCGAAGGCGGGUCUCUGGACAGUUCCUGACGCUGAGGCACGAAGGCCAGGGGAGCAAACGGG